UUCAACCAAGAGCAGUCAUAAUGUCCUCUGAUGUCCUCACCUGCCUCAGUGAGUGUACACUUGUAUCUCUAAGGACAUUCAUCAGAAAGAGGCUUCUUGUUUUUCUUUUCUGAGGAAAGGCAGAGACCAAUAAACACAGAGAACCAUUUAUAAGUAUGAUCCAAAUUUCAGAACAGUUUCUGUCACUUGGCUGUCCUGUGAAAUGUGCACUAUUAAAAAGAGGAGCUACUGAAAAUUAUAGAAAGAAAAUCAUCCUAGAAGUUCUAAUUAAGUGUGUUUACUUCAUUCAAAUAAAAACUAUACUGCAGAAAUACAAACUGUACAUGGAAGACAUGAAAUGGAAGCUGGUGCAUCUGCCUCAGUAUUGGACUCUGCUGAUAUCAUUUGUUGUUAUUUUUAGAAAUAUGUACAAUAAACCUGACUACCACAUUUCUGGUUGAAAACAUAUUUG